rnacentral:pre_miRNA from 14 species
GGUGCAGCAGCUGGUGUUGUGAAUCAGGCCGUUGCCACUCCGAGAACGGCUACUUCACAACACCAGGGUCGCACCC